rnacentral:rRNA from 1 species
GACGAACGCUGGCGGCGUGCCUAAUACAUGCAAGUCGAGCGCAGGAAGCCGACGGAACCCUUCGGGGGGAAGUCGACGGAAUGAGCGGCGGACGGGUGAGUAACACGUAAAGAACCUGCCCUCAGGUCUGGGAUAACCACGAGAAAUCGGGGCUAAUACCGGAUGGGUCAUCGGACCGCAUGGUCCGAGGAUGAAAGGCGCUUCGGCGUCGCCUGGGGAUGGCUUUGCGGUGCAUUAGCUAGUUGGUGGGGUAAUGGCCCACCAAGGCGACGCUGCAUAGCCGACCGGAGAGGGUGAUCGGCCACACUGGGACUGAGACACGGCCCAGACUCCUACGGGAGGCAGCAGUAGGGAAUCUUCCACAAGGGACGAAAGUCUGAUGGAGCAACGCCGCGUGAACGAUGAAGGCCUUCGGGUCGUAAAGUUCUGUUGUAAGGGAAGAACAAGUGCCGCAGGCAAUGGCGGCACCUUGACGGUACCUUGCGAGAAAGCCACGGCUAACUACGUGCCAGCCGCCGCGGUAACAC